rnacentral:rRNA from 1 species
AUACGGAGGAUCCAAGCGUUAUCCGGAUUUAUUGGGUUUAAAGGGAGCGUAGGUUGACAUAUAAGUCAGCUGUGAAAGUUUACGGCUCAACCGUGAAAUUGCAGUUGAUACUGUUGGUCUUGAGUGUAGAUGAGGUGGGUGGAAUUCGUAGUGUAGCGGUGAAAUGCUUAGAUAUUACGAAGAACUCCAAUUGCGUAGGCAGCUCACUGGGCUACAACUGACGCUGAGGCACGAAGGUGCGGGGAUC